GUGUUCAACAAAUGAAAUUAAGUUUCAAUGUAGAGAGUUGAGCAAUGCCAUAUAUCUUGAGAAGGCCAAGUAUUGGGACACUUCAAAGCUUCAAGUCAUAUCCUUCUUGCUGAAGGCUUUAUUCAAAGAAGAGGGCGUGCAGAUUGUCCGUAUCAAAGAAGUCAUGAAGAAGCUAUAAAGAGGAGGUUUGGAAUCCAAAGAAGGGGAUUUCAGCUGAGAAAAGCUGCCCAAAAAUGUUUGCAUUUAGAGAAGGGAAUGAUGGACUGCCCACAUGCAAAGUGCACUCCUUCUAUCAGAUUGUAAUGGCAGAGCUUGAGAAGUUGGGUCAGAAAUAUCGUGUGGCUCUGAGGU